UACGGAGGGGGCGAGCGUUAUUCGGAAUUAUUGGGCGUAAAGGGCGCGUAGGCGGCUUCAUAAGUCAAAGGUGAAAUCCCUCGGCUCAACUGAGGAACUGCCUUUGAAACUGUGAGGCUUGAGGCCGGGAGGGGGUAGCGGAAUUCCCAGUGUAGCGGUGAAAUGCGUAGAUACUGGGAGGAACACCAGUGGCGAAGGCGGCUACCUGGACUCGUUCUGACGCUGAGGCACGAAAGCUGGGGGAGCAAACGGU
rnacentral:rRNA from 1 species